GGUUGAGAUUGUGAUUUGGAAUUGUUGAUUAGUGAUAUUGAUUGAUUAUGUGGAUUGGGAAUUGUUUGAUGACUAAUUGUUGAGAAUUUCUGAAUUUUAAUUGGUUAUGUUGGAUUUGUUGCCGUUGAGCUGUUAUUUGUAUAUUGUAAUGUUAAUGAACUUGGUUGGUGGUUGAUUUGGAAUUGGUUUUGAGGGGUAUUGAAGGGUUGGAUUUUGAAUACUAAAUGGUUUGCUGAAAAUCAGGUUCUCUUGAAAUAAAACGGCAACUUUGAAAGUGAUUUAGUAACUCUAUAGUGACUGAAAUUAUAAGAAUUUAAAUGUUAAGUAAAUUAUAUUAAGUGUAAUUGUGAAAAUUCAAUUUUUAAGGUUUCGUAUCAACUAGAGAAUUAGUUAUGAUUUUUCAAAGUUGAACUCUAAAAUCUGAUUUUCUGCAUAAUUUUAAACGAAGUCAGAAACUUUGAAAAGCUAUAACUACUUACGUAAUGAUUAGAAUUGCAUGAGACCAAACUUGAGUUAAACUUGGGAAUAUAAGGAACUAAACUGAUAAAUUUGAGACUUUUUCAUUAAGUUUAUGAUUUAUGGUGAAUUUUUGAAUUGGGGAUGUCAAAUCUGAUUUUUCUGCAGAACGUUUAACACAACAGCAACUUGAUUCCUUUAUUGGAAAUUCUGAAGUUUGAAUUUUGAAAUGGAACCAAUUUUAAAUGAAACUUUGGUCCUAAUACUUUAAUUUCAUAAAAAUUUAGAAUGGUUAGAGUUGUGGUUUUAAAGAUUUGGAUUUUCAGAGAAAGAUGUAUUAUGCAGUAAAAGUCAGGCUUUGUUUUCUAAGUCAGUAACUUUGAGGCUUCAUAAUUUUUAAUUCUGGAAUGAUAUAGAGAUGAAACCAAUUGGAGGUAAAAGUUGAGUAUGUUUAGUAUAUAUUAUUCAAAUUUCAGGGUUUUCCAUUUUUUAGUAAGUGAGUUAUGGGACUUGGAAGAGGUUAUGUUCAAUGAUUUGUAAAAUAGACUUCAGCAGAAAAUUACCUAACUUCCAAGCUACAUAACUCCUUCAUUAAAAAUGGUAUGACCCUGGAACCAAUUGAGAAAGAAAUUUGAAUAAGUUAUGUUUAAUUACAUAAAUUUUGAAGGUGGUUGGAUUUAAUUUGGAUUUUAUAUGAAAUUUCGAAUGUUGUACGCUGCUGCUGUCUUCUGGAUUUAAAACACUGCAGAGCAGUCACGGUUUUGCUUAUAUUCCCGAAGCUAGAGUCAGCGAAAAAUUCUGAACUGCUUUGAAUAAAUGUGAUUGCUUACUUGCCUGUGGCUAGUUCUGAAUAUUUAUUUGAUAUUGAAGUAGUGAAUGAAGGAUUGAUUUAAAAUUCUGAUUCGAAUGUUUAUCAAGUAUAAUUUGAGAAUUGGAAAGUGAUUGGAUGUUAGAUUUAGUUUGAUUUUGGAAAAUGAUUUGAGAUUUGUGAAUGACUUGGGUUUGAAAAUGUUGGAAAGUGUUUGAGAAGAUGUUAGUUGACUUUGUUGGAAAUGAAUUGGAAUUUGGAAAGGGUUAUAAUAUUGGAGAUGAGCUUGAUUUGUAGAAAAAUGAAUUUAAAUUGAAAAUGGUUUGAGAUAUUGAAAUUGUUCAGAUUUUGAAAUUGAGUUGAAAGGAGUUUGAGAAAUGGUUUUGUUGGGACCCGGAAAGGCUAGAUUGCUGAUGCAGAUGAGCAUUGUAGUGCUUUCCGGUUGUGUGCUUUGCCAAUGAUAAUUGGCGCUUCGAUGAGUGCAGCAAUAAACAACUUGUUUGGUAUGCUUGUAGGAUGGUUAUUUGUUGGGACUGUCCGUGAAUUUAGGGUUUUUUGAACUAACCUAGGGAUUAGCAUUUCUUGUUUCUUUUGAAAUUGGUAAUAGCAAGGUUUUA